UGGGGAAUAUUGCACGAUGGGCGCAAGCCUGAUGCAGCCAUGCCGCGUGUAUGAAGAAGGCCUUCGGGUUGUAAAGUACUUUCAGCGGGGAGGAAGGGAGUAAAGUUAAUACCUUUGCUCAUUGACGUUACCCGCAGAAGAAGCACCGGCUAACUCCGUGCCAGCAGCCGCGGUAAUACGGAGGGUGCAAGCGUUAAUCGGAAUUACUGGGCGUAAAGCGCACGCAGGCGGUUUGUUAAGUCAGAUGUGAAAUCCCCGGGCUCAACCUGGGAACUGCAUCUGAUACUGGCAAGCUUGAGUCUUGUAGAGGGGGGUAGAAUUCCAGGUGUAGCGGUGAAAUGCGUAGAGAUCUGGAGGAAUACCGGUGGCGAAGGCGGCCCCCUGGACGAAGACUGACGCUCAGGUGCGAAAGCGUGGGGAGCAAACAGG
rnacentral:rRNA from 1 species